GAUUUGAACUCUGGACCUUUGGAAGAGCAGUCGGGUGCUCUUACCCACUGAGCCAUCUCACCAGCCCCUACAAAUCACUUUUUAAAAAUGAAAACUGAUGGUAAACAAGAACAUUAUCAAGGAGGAGGAGGAGGGAAGAUCUUGACAUAGCAUAGGACAAAAUUGUAAAAACAGAAACGUAACAGGGUACUUUGUGAGAUCACAGAAAAGUCUGGGCAAAGUGUAAGAAGUUCAGAAUUCCUUCCGAGAUAAAGGACUGGCACCUGCUGAGGUCAGCUCGGUCUUUGAAAGUUUCAUUAUAGGACUGGAGAUACGUCUUAGUAGCAAGAGUGUUUGCCUAGGUAAGUUCAAGGUUCAAUCCCCAAUACUGAGUAGAGACAACCUUUCUAUAUGGCUUGGUGUGGUGGCGCUCACCAACAACUCCAGUACCCGUAAGGUAAAGGCAGAAAUAUGUAGGGGCCAACCUGGCCGACACACUGAAGCCCUAAAUCAAAGGAGACCUCUCCCCACUGUCUGUAAAUCUUGCUCCAACCAAGAGAUCAGAUUGGGUUUGAUGACUUCACAUCCUACAUAUAAGGAAACAAUGUAUUCAUGGAAGUGGUUCAUUCUGUAGGAAAAAAAAAAAAAAGGAACAAUAAAUUUAGGACCCCCCCCGUCUCCCUUUGUGUAUUUAUGUGUACAUAAUGUGUAUGUUGGUGUAUGUGUGCAUGUGAACAUGCGUCAGGUGCCUUCCUUGAUAACUCUCCACCUUUUAUACUGAGGCAGGGUUUAUUGCUGGACACGGAGCUCAUCACUCCAGCUACUGCAGCCCAGAUCUUGUGUCUCUGUCCUCUGAGUGCUUGGGAUUAUAAGCAGCCACUAUGCCUGCCCACUUUUCACCUGAGUUUUGAGGAUUCAAACUACAAUUUUCAUGAUGGUAGAGGCAAGUGCUUUAUCACUGAGCCAUUUCCCUACCUCUGGUGUGUCCGAAGACAGCUACAGUUUACUCAUAUACAAUCAAUCAAUCAAUCUUUAAAAAACAAAACAAAAUUGGAGUUCAAAUCCCCAGACUCUAUGUAAAGCCAGGCAUAGUAAUAUUCACAUACUCACACACAAUUUAUAGAAGUCACCUCAUACCCCCAAUAUUCAUUUCUAUAGGUUAAGAAAUUCACCAUCAAGUGGAAGCCAAAAACAUUAUACAGAAAUUUCCAGAAAUAAUUUCUAAGAUUUAUUUAUUGUUUUUUUAAAAUGUAUUUAUUGUUCUUUGUGAGUUCAAGGCCAGACUCAUCUGCAUAGCAAGUUGCAGGCCAGCCAAGGCUACAUAGUAAGCCUCCAUCUCAAAAAGACCAAAAAACCCAAAAGAAGAAAACCAAAACAAUAAAUGGGACCAAUAAGAUAGUUCACCUCAGCUGAUAAAGCCAAGCCUGAUGAGUUGAGUUUGACCCACAUGGUAAGAGAGAACCAAUACUUGUAAGUUGUUCUCUGACCUCCACAAGUGUGUCAUGUGUCUGCACAUGUACACGACAAUCACACAAAAAAUAAAAUUAUGAUAAAUAUGUGUAAAUUACUGAGAUCUGAAGUAUGGCUAGUCAGGAAUUAGUAUGUAGGUAUAGAUAUGAUUCUUAAAAUUUAUUUAAAAAACAGUGUAUCAUUAUUUUUAAAAUCCAUUUAAAAUUUUUCUACUGUGUGUGUGUGUAUACCAUGUUUGCACAGGUAUUUUCAGGGGUCAGAAGAGGUCCUUGGAUACCAAGCAGAGAUUUAGUUGGUUGUGAACCUCCAUGUGCAUACUGGGAACUGACUUCGGGCCCUCUGGAAGAGCAGCAAGCUCUCUUACACAUCAGCUAACUCUUCUGCCCUCUCAUUACUUAUUUUUAUUGUCUAUAUUUAUUAGUAUUUUGCAUGUAAUGAGUUCAAUUAAAAUGUAGUAAAAAUUAACAAAAACAUUUGCCUAAAAAUUGAAGAGGUCCUCUUGAAUCACUUAAGCACAUAUAUGUACAUACAGCCAAUAUAAAUAAAAAUAUACAUAAAAUAUGUAUCUAUAGUUUUUUAAUUUUGUUGCCAACGCUUGGAGGAGGAAUCCAGGGCUCAGCAGAGGCAGAGUACACAUCCCCACUCCUGAGCCUAAUCUCUCCUCCCAGCGCUCACCCGUGCAGGUGGCAGGUGCCAGGUCCAUGAUGUGGAAGAACACUCGGCACACCCUUUAACGUGUAUCCAACGGCG
ensembl:lincRNA Gm26521 predicted gene, 26521